rnacentral:rRNA from 1 species
UGGGGAAUAUUGGACAAUGGGCGCAAGCCUGAUCCAGCAAUGCCGCGUGCGUGAUGAAGGCCUUCGGGUUGUAAAGCGCUUUCGCCCACGACGAUGAUGACGGUAGUGGGAGAAGAAGCCCCGGCUAACUCCSUGCCAGCAGCCGCGGUAAUACGGAGGGGGCUAGCGUUGUUCGGAAUUACUGGGCGUAAAGGGUGCGUAGGCGGCUGUCCAAGUCGGGUGUGAAAGCCCCGGGCUCAACCCGGGAUGUGCAUCCGAGACUGAAUGGCUUGAGUUCGGGAGAGGUGAGUGGAAUUCCCAGUGUAGAGGUGAAAUUSGUAGAUAUUGGGAAGAACACCGGUGGSGAAGGCGGCUCACUGGACCGACACUGACGCUGAGGCAMGAAAGCGKGGGGAGCAAACAGGAUUAGAUACCYUGGUAGUCCACGCCGUAAACGAUGUGCGCUAGACGUGGGGAGUUCGGCUCUCCGUGUCGYAGCCAACGCSAUAAGCGCACCG